rnacentral:rRNA from 1 species
AACGGCAGCACGGACUUCGGUCUGGUGGCGAGUGGCGAACGGGUGAGUAAUAUAUCGGAACGUACCUAUUAAUGGGGGAUAACUAAUCGAAAGGUUAGCUAAUACCGCAUACGUCCUACGGGAGAAAGCUAGGGACCUUCGGGCCUGGCGUUAAUAGAGCGGCCGAUAUCUGAUUAGCUAGUUGGUGAGGUAAGAGCUCACCAAGGCGACGAUCAGUAGCUGGUCUGAGAGGACGACCAGCCACACUGGAACUGAGACACGGUCCAGACUCCUACGGGAGGCAGCAGUGGGGAAUUUUGGACAAUGGGCGAAAGCCUGAUCCAGCCAUUCCGCGUGAGUGAAGAAGGCCUUCGGGUUGUAAAGCUCUUUCGCAAGAGAAGAAAACUUACCCUCUAACAUAGGGUGAGGUUGACGGUAUCUUGAUAAGAAGCACCGGCUAACUACGUGCCAGCAGCCGCGGUAAUACGUAGGGUGCGAGCGUUAAUCGGAAUUACUGGGCGUAAAGCGUGCGCAGGCUGUUUUGUAAGUCAGAUGUGAAAUCCCCGAGCUCAACUUGGGAACUGCGUUUGAAACUACAAGACUAGAAUAGGUCAGAGGGGGGUAGAAUUCCGCGUGUAGCAGUGAAAUGCGUAGAGAUGUGGAGGAAUACCGAUGGCGAAGGCAGCCCCCUGGGCCAGUACUGACGCUCAUGCACGAAAGCGUGGGGAGCAAACAGGAUUAGAUACCCUGGUAGUCCACGCCCUAAACGAUGUCAACUAGGUGUUGGGUGGGUAAAACCAUUUAGUACCGGAGCUAACGCGU